UCGAGAAUCUUCGGCAAUGGGCGCAAGCCUGACCGAGCGACGCCGCGUGCGGGAUGAAGGCCUUCGGGUUGUAAACCGCUGUCGUAGGGGAGGAAGGUCUGGUGAAGAGCCAGGCUUGACCGAUCCUAGGAGGAAGGGCCGGCUAAUCUCGUGCCAGCAGCCGCGGUAAUACGAGAGGCCCAAACGUUAUUCGGAUUUACUGGGCUUAAAGAGUUCGUAGGCGGCGCAGAAAGUAGGGUGUGAAAGCCCUCGGCUCAACCGAGGAAUUGCGCUCUAAACUACUGUGCUCGAGGAACCUAGAGGUGAGCAGAACUGAUGGUGGAGCGGUGAAAUGCGUUGAUAUCAUCAGGAAUACCGGAGGCGAAGGCGGCUCACUGGGGGUUAUCUGACGCUGAGGAACGAAAGCCAGGGGAGCGAACGGGAUUAGGAUACCCCGGUAGUCCUGGCCGUAAACGAUGAGCACUGGGCCGGAGAUCUGCACAGGUUUCCGGCCGUAGCGUAAAG
rnacentral:rRNA from 1 species